rnacentral:sRNA from 1 species
UGUACCAAGUUUCGAAGUUAUGUUAGUAGCUCGUCCUGUUUAAUAAGUCAUAGCAACACUCUCAGCAACAUCGUUUUAGUGAAUUUAAAUUUAUUUAAAUGGCUAGAACAACUUAAGAUAAAAUUAUAUUAAACAAAUAGGAUACUAUUAUGUCUACAACUACUGGUACAGUAAAAUGGUUCAACGAGUCUAAAGGUUUUGGUUUCAUCGAGCAAGAAUCUGGUCCUGACGUUUUCGCACAUUUCUCUGCAAUCUCUGGCGACGGUUUUAAAACUCUUGCUGAAGGCCAAAAAGUACAGUUUACUGUUACUCAAGGUCAGAAAGGUCCUCAAGCUGAGAACAUUCAAGCUCUUUAAUUUUG